CUGAACUUGUUUUGCCUCCUUAACCAUGUCAGUUGGUUUUAGUUUCACCUAAUAUCCAUUUCAUGUUAAUUUUAAUUUGUCAGAAUAAACUGUUACUGUUAGGUGUUGAUGUUGCUGCUGUUACUACUGCUGGUUCUAAUGCCAUUGCUGCUGUUGCUGUUAAUAUAGAAUAAUUAAGGUUGUUGUUGGACCAUCAGAGUUUCUGGCCGCUGUCGGAGCUGCCGCCGGAUCAGCUCGGGAUUGCGGCUGUUCCAUUUUGCUCUUACUGAUUGAGUUGUCGGGAUUGCCUGUUGCAAUUAAAACCGUUUCUGCUAUUGCGGAAGUGAGCAGACAUGCAAUUGAAGCUGUAGUUUAUUUCG